rnacentral:rRNA from 1 species
UGGGGAAUUUUGGACAAUGGGCGAAAGCCUGAUCCAGCAAUGCCGCGUGUGUGAAGAAGGCCUUCGGGUUGUAAAGCACUUUUGUCCGGAAAGAAAUCCUUGGCUCUAAUACAGUCGGGGGAUGACGGUACCGGAAGAAUAAGCACCGGCUAACUACGUGCCAGCAGCCGCGGUAAUACGUAGGGUGCAAGCGUUAAUCGGAAUUACUGGGCGUAAAGCGUGCGCAGGCGGUUUGCUAAGACCGAUGUGAAAUCCCCGGGCUCAACCUGGGAACUGCAUUGGUGACGUGGCAGGCUAGAGUAUGGCAGAGGGGGGUAGAAUUCCACGUGUAGCAGUGAAAUGCGUAGAGAUGUGGAGGAAUACCGAUGGCGAAGGCAGCCCCCUGGGCCAAAUACUGACGCUCAUGCACGAAAGCGUGGGGAGCAAAACAGGAUUAGAUACCCUGGUAGUCCACGCCCUAAAACGAUGUCAACUAGUUGUUGGGGAUUCAUUUCCUUAGUAACGUAGCUAACGCGUGAAGUUGACCGCCUGGGGAGUACGGUCGCAAGAUUAAAACUCAAAGGAAUUGACGGGGUCAUAGCUGUUUCCU